rnacentral:rRNA from 1 species
AGUGGAUUAACCGGCGGACGGGUGAGUAACACGUGGGUAACCUGCCUCGUAGAGGGGAAUAGCCUUCCGAAAGGAAGAUUAAUACCGCAUAAGAUUGUAGUUUCGCAUGAAACAGCAAUUAAAGGAGUAAUCCGCUAUGAGAUGGACCCGCGUCGCAUUAGCUAGUUGGUGAGGUAACGGCUCACCAAGGCGACGAUGCGUAGCCGACCUGAGAGGGUGAUCGGCCACAUUGGGACUGAGACACGGCCCAGACUCCUACGGGAGGCAGCAGUGGGGAAUAUUGCACAAUGGGGGAAACCCUGAUGCACCAACGCCGCGUGAGUGAUGACGGUCUUCGGAUUGUAAAACUCUGUCUUCAGGGACGAUAUUGACGGUACCUGAGGAGAACCACGGCU